rnacentral:rRNA from 1 species
UGGGGAAUAUUGCACAAUGGGGGAGCCCUGAUGCAGCGACGCCGCGUGGGUGAAGGAGUGCCUCGGCACGUAAAGCCCUAUCGGCAGGGAAGAAGAAGACGGUACCUGACUAAGAAGCCCCGGCUAACUACGUGCCAGCAGCCGCGGUAAUACGUAGGGGGCAAGCGUUAUCCGGAUUCACUGGGUGUAAAGGGAGCGUAGACGGCCGUGCAAGCCAGGAGUGAAAGCCCGGGGCCCAACCCGGGACUGCUCUUGGAACUGUGCGGCUGGAGUGCGGGAGGGGCAGGCGGAAUUCCUGGUGUAGCGGUGAAAUGCGUAGAUAUCAGGAGGAACACCGGCGGCGAAGGCGGCCUGCUGGACCGCGACCGACGUUGAGGCUCGAAAGCGUGGGGAGCGAACAGGAUUAGAUACCC